rnacentral:rRNA from 1 species
GUAUCAUGGCUCAGGAUGAACGCUAGCUACAGGCUUAACACAUGCAAGUCGAGGGGCGAGCAUGGCCUUAGCUUGCUAAGGCCGAUGGCGACCGGCGCACGGGUGAGUAACACGUAUCCAACCUGCCGUCUACUCUUGGACAGCCUUCUGAAAGGAAGAUUAAUACAAGAUGGCAUCAUGAGUUCACAUGUUCUACAUGAUUAAAGGUAUUCCGGUAGACGAUGGGGA